GGGACUGAGACACUGCCGGACACCUACGGGUGGCUGCGCAACGAAUAUCCGCAAUGGGCGCAAGCCUGACGGAGCGACCCGGUGGAGAAAGCCCACUGGGUGUAAACUCCAAUAGUAGUCAAAAGCAAACCCGCCUAAUACGUGGGGGCGUUGAUCAGCCUACGAAAGGGCCGGCUAACUCCGUGCCAGCAGCCGCGGUAAGUCGGAUGGCCCUAGCGUUGUUCGGAAUCACUGGGCUUAAAGAGCGUGUAGGCGGCCCGUCAAGCGUCUUGUGAAAGCCCUCGGCUCAACCGAGGAAUUGCUUGGCGAACUGUCGGGCUUGAGGCAGGUAGAGGCGACUGGAACGUUAGGUGGAGCGGUGAAAUGCGUAGAUAUCUAACGGAACGCCUGUGGCGAAAGCGGGUCGCUGGGCCUGUCCUGACGCUGAGACGCGAAAGCGUAGGGAGCAAACGGGAUUAGAUACCCCGGUAGUCUACGCCGUAAACGAUGCGCACUAGGUACAGGAGUCUCUGACGGCGACUGUGCCGAAGCAAAAGUGUUAAGUGCGCCGCCUGGGGAGUACGGCCGCAAGGCUAAAACUCAAAGGAAUUGACGGGGGCUCACACAAGCGGUGGAGCAUGUGGCUCAAUUCGAAGCAACGCGAAGAACGUUACCCGGGUUCAAGCCUUGGGAUGCGUACGUGGAAACAGGUUUUGGUUGCCCUUCGGGGUGAAACCUUGGCCGGUGCUGCAUGGCUGUCGUCAGCUCGUGCUGUGAAGUGUUGGGUUAAGUCCCGUAACGAGCGAAACCCUUGUCGUUAGUUGCCAGCGGGUUAUGCCGGGGACUCUAACGAGACUGCCGGUGUCAAACCGGAGGAAGGUGGGGAUGACGUCAAGUCCUCAUGGCCCUUAAGCCCGGGGCGGCACACGUGCUACAAUGGGGCGCACAAAGCGACGCAAGACCGUGAGGUGGAGCAAAUCGCAAAAAGCGUCUCUCAGUUCGGAUUGGAGUCUGAAAUUCGACUCCAUGAAGUCGGAAUCGCUAGUAAUCGCGUAUCAGCCAUGACGCGGUGAAUGUGUUCCUGAGCCUUGUACACACCGCCCGUCAAGUCAUGGAAGCUGGGAGCACCCGAAGUCCGCUUGCUAAC
rnacentral:rRNA from 1 species